CCUACGGGAGACAGCAGUGGGGAAUCUUUGGCAAUGGGCGCAAGCCUGACCCAGCAACGCCGCGUGAAGGAAUAAGGCUUUCGGGUUGUAAACUUCUUUUCUCAGGGACGAAGCAAGUGACGGUACCUGAGGAAUAAGCCACGGCUAACUACGUGACAGCAGCCGCGGUAAUACGUAGGUGGCAAGCGUUAUUCGGAUUUACUGGGUGGAAAGGGCGUGUAGGCGGGGACGCAAGUCAGAUGUGAAAACCACGGGCUCAACCGGUGGCCUGCAUUUGAAACUGUGUGUCUAGAGUACUGGAGGGGCAGACGGAAUUCCUGGUGUAGCGGUGAAAUGCGUAGAUAUUAGGAGGAACACCAGUGGCGAAGGCGGUCUGCUGGACAGCAACUGACGCUGAGGCGCGAAGGCGUGGGGAGCAAACAGGAUUAGAUACCCGGGUAGUC
rnacentral:rRNA from 1 species